rnacentral:rRNA from 1 species
UAAAGCGUGCGCAGGCGGUUUUGUAAGACUGUCGUGAAAUCCCCGGGCUCAACCUGGGAAUGGCGAUGGUGACUGCAAGGCUAGAGUUUGGCAGAGGGGGGUAGAAUUCCACGUGUAGCAGUGAAAUGCGUAGAUAUGUGGAGGAACACCGAUGGCGAAGGCAGCCCCCUGGGUCAAAACUGACGCUCAUGCACGAAAGCGUGGGGAGCAAACAGGAUUAGAUACCCUUG